AGUUGCGAUCAUACCAGCACUAAUGCACCGGAUCCCAUCAGAACUUCGCAGUGAAGCGUGCUUGGGCGAGGGUAGUACUAGGAUGGGUGACCUCCUGGGAAGUCCUCGUGUUGCACCUC
rnacentral:rRNA from 1 species